UGAGAGCGAGAACAGCCCCGCAGGUCCCGAGGCGCUGGCUGGGGACACUGCCGCGGAAAGUUCCCAGUCCCCAGCCGCAGAUCUGCAGAGUUGAAAUGAAAUGUUUUGAGCUCUUCGAGCUGACUCGUCAGAAUACUGGAGCCUUUUAAAAAAUGACGAAUUGGAAGAAAAAAUUACUUUAUCAAUAACCAGGCUGCACCAGGAUUGACCAAGAUGUUUGUUCCUGGCGCUUGUCAUUCUCAGCAAGCACAACACAGAGAGCAAAUAUAAAAGGCUCAAAGUGCAUUGCAUCUUUUAUGGGUAAGCAUGAAAUAGGUU
rnacentral:lncRNA from 1 species